AUCAUGUCCAACUAUUUUAAUUAUAUUCGAAGUUUGGUUCAAAUCGUGAGAGCUGGAGACAAAAAGAAAAGAGGUGUUUAAACAAGCUCUACUACAUGUAAUCUCUUAUAUUUUUGUUUUCAUAUUUUCCCCCUUAUAUUUUCUUUCCUUUUUACCAAGCUAACUUAGGGAAAGAAAAAAAAUCUGAAAACAAAAAACAGAGAGAUUACAUGUAGUUGAGCUUGUUUAAACACUUCUUUUCUUUUGGUCUCCAGCUCUCACGAUUUAAACCAAACUAUGCAUAUACAGAAGUGUUUGACAUGAUCCUUGUAAUUGUAUAAACUCUCGAAUCCAUUAUAUUGACUUUAUUUUCUUCUCCAACAAUGUAUACUUUGUCUUUGCACUUAACCUUGUCAUCUUCAUCCAUCCAUAUGUUACUCUUACAACACAUGACGACUUUGUUCUCCUGGUCUAGCAAGCAACUUAUGUCAAUAUGUCAUGCCAGGAUUCAGCGCCGAGAUACAAUGCUAAGACCUUGUUCCACGACACCACAUUGGUUUCACCAAUCUUUUGGUUUUUCAAUUAUCAGAAUUUAUGCCAAAUUAAACAGAAUAAAAGUUUGGUUUAGUUCGAUUUGAAACUCAGUAUAUUU
rnacentral:sRNA from 1 species